GUCCACGCCGUAAACGAUGGUCACUAGAUGUGGGGUGUCGACUCCCUCCGUGUCGUAGCUAACGCGUUAAGUGACCCGCCUGGGGAGGUACGGCCGCAAGGCUAAACUCAAGGAAUUGACGGGACCCGCACAAGCAGCGGAGCAUGUGGAUUAAUUCGACGCAACGCGAAGAACCUUACCUGGGCUUGACAUACCUCUGACCGGCGUGGAAACACGUCCUCCCUUCGGGGCAGAGAUACAGGUGGUGCAUGGCUGUCGU
rnacentral:rRNA from 1 species